UACGAAGGGGACUAGCGUUGUUCGGAAUUACUGGGCGUAAAGCGCACGUAGGCGGAUUUGUAAGUCAGGGGUGAAAUCCCGGGGCUCAACCUCGGAACUGCACUCGAAACUUCUUUUCUUGAGUGCCGGAGAGGAAAGCGGAAUACCUGGUGUAGUGGUGAAAUGCGUAGAGAUCGGGAGGAACACCAGUGGCGAAGGCGGCUCGCUGGGCCGGACCUGACGCUGAGACGCGAAGGCGUGGGGAGCAAACAGG
rnacentral:rRNA from 1 species